rnacentral:rRNA from 1 species
GAUGAACGCUGGCGGCGUGCCUAAUACAUGCAAGUCGAGCGAACGGACGAGAAGCUUGCUUCUCUGAUGUUAGCGGCGGACGGGUGAGUAACACGUGGAUAACCUACCUAUAAGACUGGGAUAACUUCGGGUAACCGGAGCUAAUACCGGAUAAUAUUUUGAACCGCAUGGUUCAAAAGUGAAAGACGGUCUUGCUGUCACUUAUAGAUGGAUCCGCGCUGCAUUAGCUAGUUGGUAAGGUAACGGCUUACCAAGGCAACGAUGCAUAGCCGACCUGAGAGGGUGAUCGGCCACACUGGAACUGAGACACGGUCCAGACUCCUACGGGAGGCAGCAGUAGGGAAUCUUCCGCAAUGGGCGAAAGCCUGACGGAGCAACGCCGCGUGAGUGAUGAAGGUCUUCGGAUCGUAAAACUCUGUUAUUAGGGAAGAACAUAUGUGUAAGUAACUGUGCACAUCUUGACGGUACCUAAUCAGAAAGCCACGGCUAACUACGUGCCAGCAGCCGCGGUAAUACGUAGGUGGCAAGCGUUAUCCGGAAUUAUUGGGCGUAAAGCGCGCGUAGGCGGUUUUUUAAGUCUGAUGUGAAAGCCCACGGCUCAACCGUGGAGGGUCAUUGGAAACUGGAAAACUUGAGUGCAGAAGAGGAAAGUGGAAUUCCAUGUGUAGCGGUGAAAUGCGCAGAGAUAUGGAGGAACACCAGUGGCGAAGGCGACUUUCUGGUCUGUAACUGACGCUGACGUGCGAAAGCGUGGGGAUCAAACAGGAUUAGAUACCCUGGUAGUCCACGCCGUAAACGAUGAGUGCUAAGUGUUAGGGGGUUUCCGCCCCUUAGUGCUGCAGCUAACGCAUUAAGCACUCCGCCUGGGGAGUACGACCGCAAGGUUGAAACUCAAAGGAAUUGACGGGGACCCGCACAAGCGGUGGAGCAUGUGGUUUAAUUCGAAGCAACGCGAAGAACCUUACCAAAUCUUGACAUCCUUUGACAACUCUAGAGAUAGAGCCUUCCCCUUCGGGGGACAAAGUGACAGGUGGUGCAUGGUUGUCGUCAGCUCGUGUCGUGAGAUGUUGGGUUAAGUCCCGCAACGAGCGCAACCCUUAAGCUUAGUUGCCAUCAUUAAGUUGGGCACUCUAAGUUGACUGCCGGUGACAAACCGGAGGAAGGUGGGGAUGACGUCAAAUCAUCAUGCCCCUUAUGAUUUGGGCUACACACGUGCUACAAUGGACAAUACAAAGGGCAGCGAAACCGCGAGGUCAAGCAAAUCCCAUAAAGUUGUUCUCAGUUCGGAUUGUAGUCUGCAACUCGACUACAUGAAGCUGGAAUCGCUAGUAAUCGUAGAUCAGCAUGCUACGGUGAAUACGUUCCCGGGUCU